rnacentral:lncRNA from 1 species
UGUUCAAUACAGAGUUGAUAUCUUCAAGGAUCAAUGUGUAACAGAGGCAUGGGCUAUUUAGAAAACAGAGUCAAUCUUAACAAAUAUAGCUGAAGAAAUUUCACAGAUUGAUGAGAUGAAAAGUAGUUCUUUUCUGGAGAAAGGAUGAAAAUCAUUUGCAAUGAAAAUAGACCAUUUUCAAUUUUCCGCAUAGAUAACACUACGGGUCAG